rnacentral:rRNA from 1 species
AACCUCCCGGGCCACCCGGCCUGCGGCGGAAUGUUGCGUAAAGGGAAAGGUCGUAGUCAAACCCCACAGCCACGCGAACUCUAAGUCAGCCACGAAUAGGCUAUCCCAACUAACGGCGGGAAAGACUCCACGGAGGGUGUAAGACCCGUGUGGGCGCGUGUUAAAGCUGUGCGGGCUCGGCCUCUUUUCCCUGAGAGUCGCGUUGCUUGAGCAUGCAGCGCUAAGCAGGUCGUAAACUCGAUCUAAGGCUAAAUAUGUCCACAGAACCGAUAGCGAACAAGUACCGUGAGGGAAAGUUGAAAAGCACUCUGGAGAGAGAGUCAAAAGACCGUGAAACCGCUCAGAGUAUAAGCCCAUGGCAGCUUGGAAGGCAUAUCGCUAGCGGGGCAUCCGAGCCUUCUUCCCUUAACCGGGGAGUUGAGGAGGGUGUUACCUUGCUUCUGUUGUGGCUCGUCAAGGUAGGGGGGUCGAGUCCAAAUCCCGCCAACGUGUGGGGAGUUCACAGGCCCGGAGCUGGGUCAGUUGAUCUUCGGGUCGGCUGCUCUCGGCUCUGCGCGCUUGGUUCUCUUUUAACACGGACGUUCAGACACAGUUGCAAGAUGCGAUAACCAGCCCACCACGGCACGUUGUGAGGUCACCCACAGGCUCGACUUUCGAUCGUGUUCCUUGACGCCGAGCAAGCACAAUGCGUGUCGCAAAUGUUCCUAACCGGGCACGUGAAGUGCCAGGACUGCGGAACGACACGCGCUCAACAGUCAGGAGCGGGCGAUGACAGAGUUCUGGUACGAUCCUCUUGCGACGAGCCGGCUUCUGGCCCAGUUUUCUUUUGCCCAGUGCUCCCGCAUGUGCCGCGGGAGCACGAUGACGGUCUGGAGUUUUCAUUCGAAUCCUCUCAGUUGGGCUUAAGACGAGUGGUGUAAAGUCCAAGCCCAUCGGUCACGUCUCGAAACACGGGCCAAGGAGUAUAGCAUGUGUGCAAGUCUAAGAGUCUCACAAAACUCGAAGGCGAAGUGAAAGCAAGUUUGCGGCGGGUGAUCCACACGGAGAUCCCGUCAGCUAGAGAGACACUCUCUCCGGCUUUGGCUGAGUUGAUCCUGCAGCGGUCCUAAAAACACUCGCUCAGGCGCAAACUCCAGGCUCACGUUCUUGCACUGGUUCUCACGGACUGUGCUGUGAGCACUGUGGAGCAUGCAUGCUAUGACCCGAAAGAUAGUGAACUAUGCCUGGCGAGGGCGAAGCCCCAGGAAACUGGGGUGGAGGCCCGUAGCCGUUGUGACGUGCA